UACGGAGGAUCCAAGCGUUAUCCGGAAUCAUUGGGUUUAAAGGGUACGUAGGCGGUUUUGUAAGUCAGGGGUGAAAGCCCAUCGCUCAACGGUGGAACGGCCAUUGAUACUGCAAAACUUGAAUUAUUGGGAAGUAACUAGAAUAUGUAGUGUAGCGGUGAAAUGCUUAGAUAUUACAUGGAAUACCAAUUGCGAAGGCAGGUUACUAUCAAUAUAUUGACGCUGAUGGACGAAAGCGUGGGGAGCGAACAGG
rnacentral:rRNA from 1 species